AGAGGCGUAGCGUGUAGGGCAAUAUUUGUGUGAAGUGUAAAAUACUGCCGGUAGAACAUCUAGUACUGUGCUGAGAGGGCGGGCUCAUUCCCCUUUAAGCCGCUGCACAGGUUGCAUUCACCUGUGAGACUAUCUGAAGUUACACAUGUACGGACGGAUUCAUGGUUAAACACAUGAGAGGAACGAUCAACAAAAGGGAAAUAUUGGGAACACUGGUGUGUGCGAGUGAUGAGAUGUCAUCUUUAGAGGAUAUUUUUUCCACUAACCAGUGUCCAACUGCAGUCUUUACCUCCAAGGGCACUGAUGUCACUCCAAAUAGUGACCGGGGAGUAUGUAAGAUUGUGAAACAACAUGGUGUAGAGGGUGAAAUGCCGAUGAUUGGAGACAAGGUGUGUGUCCAUUACACAGGCAAACUCCUCAAUGGGAAGACGUUUGACUCCAGUUUUGACCGCAAGGAACCUUUUGUUUUUAAUGUGGGCAAAGGUCAGGUGAUAAAAGCGUGGGACAUUGGCAUUUGUUCCAUGCAGAAAGGAGAAGUGUGCUUGCUACUCUGUAAGCCUGAAUAUGCAUAUGGUUCAUCUGGUAGCCCCCCUAAGGUUCCUCCCAAUGCCACUCUUGUGUUUGAGAUUGAGCUGUUGAGCUUCAGAGGGGAGGAGCUUACAGAAGAUGGCGGAAUCAUUAGGAGAAUAAAGGUCAAAGGUGAAGGCUAUAACAAUCCGAAUGAAGGGGCCACAGUCAAUGUACACUUGAAGGGGUGGUGUGGAGGUCGUUUAUUUGAGUCUCGAGAUAUCACCUUUGUGGUGGGUGAAUCAGAGGAUGAGGGUGUUCCUUUAGGAGUGGACAGGGCCAUGGAGAAAAUGCAAAAGGGGGAAUGCUGUUUAUUAUACCUAAAACCCAAGUAUGGUUAUGGCAAAGAGGGUAAGACAGAAUAUGACAUCGAAUCAAAUGCAGAACUGCUGUAUGAGGUGACACUUAAAGACUUUGAAAAGGCCAAAGAAUCCUGGGAAAUGGACCUUAAAGAGAAACUUGAACGUGCUGUUUUGGUCAAACAAAAAGGCACCCAGUAUUUCAAGGCUGGACGAUACAACCAUGCUGUAAUUCAGUACCAACGGAUCGUGACCUGGUUAGAGAUGGAGUGCGGGGCAGGAAAGGAGCAGCUGCAAGCCAUUCAGGCUCUCCUUUUAGUAGCCCAUCUAAAUCUGGCCCUCUGCUACCUGCGCUUGCGCGAGUACUCUCAAACCGUGGAGAACUGCGACAAGGUGAUGGAGCUGGACCCAGAGAAUGAGAAAGCUCUGUAUCGGCGUGGUGAAGCACGUCUAUUGCGGAACGAGUUCAGCCUGGCCCUUGGAGACUUCAGGCAAGUUCUGCAAGUCAACUCCUUCAACCGCGCCGCCCGGAGCCAGAUCGUCGUCUGCCAGCGCAAGAUUCGGGAGCACCAUGAGCGUGAUAAGAAGAUCUAUGCAAACAUGUUCCAGAGGUUUGCUGAACAUGAUGCCAAGGAGGCCGAUGAGGAAGCUGCCCACACAGAUGAGGAGUAGGAAGAUUUUACGACGGUGUCCUUGGAGGAAGAAGGUGGGAUUCAUGUCUGUUAUAGCUGUCAUGAGAGCUUCCAAACCCACAAACUGAAAAAGAUAGUGAGAUAUGGAAACCUCCACACAUUUCCUAAACCUAUGAUCUGUCCUGCAACAGCCAAGAUAAACUCUACUUUACUGGACCACUGGCCCCUCACUCUGGUUUUGGGAACUGGGUCGAUUCCUCCCGAGUCUGGAUAAGCCAGUUUAAACUGCACAUCUGGAUCAUGCUGCAUCUCCAUGUCACUGCAAAAAUGUACAACAAACAUCUGUCAAAACAUUCAAUGUUGCCAAAGAGGCACAAACAAAGCUCAAAGAGUGGUGACUGAAACAUCAAAAAGGUCAAAAACAACAGCAACGACAUUGUCUGUCCAGUACCAUCUGGCUGUUCCAACUCUUCCAUUUGUAGUAACGCAUUCAAAUAAUGAAGUUAGUUUGAGAGCACUAAUGAUAAUGCUUCUAUUUUGCCCCCGAAUUUAAAGAUUUAAGAAUGUUCCAAGGAACAUCUUGUGUGAUUCAAUGCAAGCAAGGAAAUCUGACCUUUUGUUCAAUGCAGAUAACGUCAAUGUCCCAUGUUUGCUUUCAUAUGAUGAAUGAUUGAGUGACUUAUAGAGCAGAAUCUAAAAUAUUUAUUCACAAAAAAAAAUUUUUUCACAAAGUUUAAAUUGGACCACCCCCCCUAGACUUAGACUUUCUAACCCCAAUGUAUAUCAGAACGGUAUAUAUAUGAACUCGUCAUGACCUUUGCACUUGAACUCUCUUUUAACAGCAUAUAAAGCUGACUUUGACGCUAAAUAUAGUUUUAAACAUCUAUGAACAAACAAUGACACUAUGACAGACUGCAGUGUAACCAUCGAAUCUAAUAGCUGCAUUUUUAAUUGUUUUAAAGUCAUAAGAGUUUACAGAAAGGCUCACAAUUUGUUUUGUAUGCAGAGGUCAGAGGUACACACUGCUUGUGAAAUUCCUCACAGCUGAAAUAAUCUUGUGUCCCCUAAACAGGACGUACUGCGGGGGGUCAUUCUCCUCCUGCCCUCAUUUCUUUGUGCAAUGGUCCUAAUUAUGUCUGAAAGAAAAUUGCCUGACAACUGUAUUUUAAUUAUAUUUUUAAAGGUUUAACUUUUUACAAAUAUAAUUAAAACACAUUUUUUUCAAAGACAUUACUAUUAGUAUAACGUGCACAUUUGUGAUCAACUAUUGGGAAAGAUGCAUCUCAACUGUUGAUAUUGUUUUGCAGGCUGAGAACUUUAAAAACAUACAGAUGUUGUCUCUUGCUGCUGGAAUAUUCCUUUAAGUGAUAUACCUUAUUAAAUUAUAUUUUAAUUCAGCUUUAGGAGUUUUAAAACAACACCAAUCAAAAGUUCAAUUCCACGUGUAGUCUUACAGCUACAUAAGACAAAAUAGUGAAAAAAGGUUUAAUGUUGUUUGUAAUACAAUAGCAUGAUCCUGCAUAGGUGUUGUCCAUUCAUAUUCCAUAGACUCUAUGGAAGACGGUAUGGAAUGAAAAGUCCUGACAGCCUGCAAUAAACACUGUUUGAUAAUACACGUUUGUUUUCAUUUCAACUUAUGUGUAUAACUGUUGAUUGCCAGUUACAUAUACCUGUAUUUAUGUUAAUAAAUGAAAUGCUCAGUGCACUGAA